rnacentral:tRNA from 1 species
GCUUGAGUAGUUUAACCGGUUAAAACCUUAUUUUCAUACGAUAAUGAUGGGUAUUCGACUUACCCCUCAGGCU